rnacentral:rRNA from 1 species
AUUGAACGCUGGCGGCAGGCCUAACACAUGCAAGUCGAACGGUAACAGGAAGAAUCUUUCUUCUUUUCUGACGAGUGGCGGACGGGUGAGUAAUGUCUGGGCAACUGCCUGAUGGAGGGUGAUAACUACUGGAAACGGUAGCUAAUACCUCAUAACGUCUCAAGACCAAAGAGGGGUACCUUCGUGCCUCUUGCCAUCGGAUGUGCCCAGAUGGUAUUAGCUAGUAUGUGGGGUAAGGUUUCCCCUAGUCGACGAUCCCUAGGUGGUCUGAGAGUAUGACCAGCCACAUUGGAACUGGACCACGGUCAAGACGCCUACGGGAGGCAGCAGUGGGGAAUAUUGCGCAGUGGGCGCAAGCAUGAUGCAGUCAUGCCGAGUGUAUGAAGAAGGCCUUCGGGUUGUAAAGUACGUUCAGCGGGGAGGAAGGGAGUAAAGUUAAUACCUUUCCUCAUUGACGUUACCGGCAGAAGAAGCACCGGCUAACUACGUG